CGGACGGUAACCAUGGCUGUCUACCACCACACUGUUCAACAUCUACCACAUCGCCGACCGACAAUAAACGUUAACUGUAAGUGUCAGCGUCUGGUUAUAGUUUAAUGUAUUAUAAUCAAAGCACGACAGAUUACCUGAUGUUUUAUUGUUUGAUUAGACUCUGAGCAUGGAGAAUCGGAUGAGCCAGGACUGUAAACUUCCGCCUGCGCGCAGGAUGGGAAAGGGCGUGAUGUUCACGGGCGUCAUGUAAGCGCAGCCGUCGGCCAUCACACCGACCGAUUCGCACCCCUCCUCCCAGUUUAUCAAUAAAAGACCAGCGAUUUCAGUGUUGCAGCCCAGACAAGCUCACAACAGGGUCCAGAGAUGGCAUCAGUGAAGCUGGAAGACUGCAGUCAAACACUGGAACUCAAUGUGAUUGUCAAAGAGGAGGAGGAGGAGAGAGAAAUUGAGGAGGAGGAGGAAGGCGGGGAGGAGGAGGAGGAAGAAGAGGAUGAGGAAGAUAAUGACAUUGACUCUGACAUGGAAGAAGAGGAGGACCAGGGAGAAAGAGGUGCGGCUAACCCAGGGCUUGUUAUUCUUAAAAGAGAGGAGGAGAGGGACAGAGAGAAGAAGGAUGAAGCAGAGGAGGAAGGUGUGGAUAGGACCAAGCCAGGUAAUCACUGAUCAGAACAUGCAUCCAGAGGAGGAGGUGGGGGAUGGAGAGGAGGAGGAAGGUGUGGAUAGGACCAAGCCAGGUAAUCACUGAUCAGAACAUGCAUCCAGAGGAGGAGGUGGGGGAUGGAGAGGAGGAGGAAGGUGUGGAUAGGACCAAGCCAGGUAAUCACUGAUCAGAACAUGCAUCCAGAGGAGGAGGUGGGGGAUGGAGAGGAGGAGGAAGGUGUGGAUAGGACCAAGCCAGGUAAUCACUGAUCAGAACAUGCAUCCAGAGGAGGAGGUGGGGGAUGGAGAGGAGGAGGAAGGUGUGGAUAGGACCAAGCCAGGUAAUCACUGAUCAGAACAUGCAUCCAGAGGAGGAGGUGGGGGAUGGAGAGGAGGAGGAAGGUAUAGAUGGGACCAAGCCAGGUA
rnacentral:lncRNA from 1 species